AAAAACAGUCACACAAUCGAACACGAAUAAAAGAACAGUGAAAAUAUAUACGAGAGAAAUUUGCAAAAACCAAAAAAAGUAGUCGAUAUUUUUACAAUACUACUUUUCUUGUCUUGUAUUUGUCUUCGUCAUUUUAGUUCUAAAAACUGCGGAGGAAAAAUUCCGUGUGAAUUUUUUUCACGUUGAAUAAAAAAAUUUGUUAAAAAAGUAUGGCGAGUCUUGGGGGCGAACAAAAAAUGUCAUCAAAUUCUCCAGCAGGCGACGUGACUAAACAGCCAGAAAGCCGAGAAGGUAGCGUUGAAAGAAAUGCAGCAGCCAAAGAGCGUGACGAUAAAUUGAAAGUUGCUAGAGAACGUCAAAAUGAAGAAAGGCAAAGAAAAAUUGAAGAAUUAAAGGCUCAAGCAGAAGCAGCACAAAGAUAUCGUGAACAAAAGGAGGAGGAACGCCGACGCAGAAUUGAAGAAAUUAGACAUCGAGAUUCUGAGAAGCGAUUACAAGUCGAAGAGCGUAAAAAAGCCAUUAUGGAAGCCGAAAAAGAACGACGUGAAUAUAUACUUAGAAAAAAUCAGGAAAGAGAAACCAGAUUGGAAUUAAAGAAACGUGAAAGAAAUUCAUAUGGAUAUGCUUUCGGUUCCUCAACACCGCGUUUAUUGGAGCCAGCUGAUUUUGGUAUGGUAUCACCUAGCACCUUUUGGGGCCAAAGACGUUCCACUUCUAUAUCUAAUGUUGCCGGUGCUUCGCUGUCACGUCGUAGUUCAGAACGUGAACUUAACGAUAGUGGUACUAAAAAGCGUGCAACAUCUGCCAGUGGCACAGAGCGACACGAUGAUCAUCGUCGCAAAUCAUCAUCCAUGUACGAGGUUUUCCAUUGGAAUGAUGAGCCACCUAAAAGAUUUUCACUUUCUAUAGUCAGUAGUGAGAUUAAUAUUGAUGGACCUCCUUCCUCCACUUUAACUGGUACAGCGGCAAAUGUCAUCAUCAAUAAGAAUAGCAACAAUAAUUGUAGCAACACCAACAACAGUAGAAACACUUCUACAGAGCACCAUCAUAAACAAUAUUCAAAUCAUAAUUUCUAUACAACAUCUUCUGCUACUGCAUCUGCUACUACUUCUACUAUUAGCAAGGAAGAUAAUGUUGAUACAUCGCACAUUGUGUUUCGAAGUGUGGCACGAAGAAAAACUGACCUUAUGCCAACUAUACCCAGUCCUAGGGAUGGACAUUACGGUUCCAGGUCGUCGUUGAGUACACCUAGAACACCAGGACGUGCAUAUUCGAUGAACCGUUUGGAUCAGUUGGCACAACCGAUUCGUCGCAAUGGCGAACAUAUACGUGCUAUAUUGGAACGUGAGCGCCGUGAACAAAUGGAAAUGUUAGAUGAAACAGAAUCUAUAAGCAGUGGACAUCAGCGUUCGGGUGCCGCUAAAAAGACGGGUAGAGGUGCAAAUAGUAGCAUAUCACGCAGUAUGACACAUUUGGCCGGUGGCGGAGCACAACAACGUCCAAAAUAUAAUUUAGGUGGGGGAAUUUCCACCAGCUUUCUACCAUUAGGUAGCGGCAGUAGGGUUGCCUGUAAAAGUAUGAUACACUUGGGCAAUGCCUGGUCUACUAGCACAUCAUCACGCUCCAAUUUAGGCUUACAAACUGCCGCCACCAAAAAAUAUCUACAAUCAUCAUUAGCUUCACCUACAUCCAACACCACUAAACGGGGCCAGCUGCAUUUCUCUACUACUAACCCCUACCGUUACGACACAGACUCAUUGUUACUCAUGAACUCUCCUAGUUUACUCCUAAACCCAGGUUCACGUUCUGGUAAUGUUACACCCGGUGGCCAAUUGACGUCUAGACCCGGUAGCUCCAUGUCCACAUCAACUACAAUGUCCACAUCUGGUUUUAUCACUAGAAGGUCGAUGCCUACUACACGCAAACCUCGCCCAUCGAGCAUAGCCGGCACUGGUGUCUCUUUAGAAGAAAUAAAUAAAUUGAAAAAGGAAAGCAAGCCGCCCAUGAAAACUAUAACACCUUCGACGUCAGCACAAACUACUCCGAAACGAUCAACGAAUAUGAUGUCCACAUCAUUGAUAGUCACAUCAUCCUCGCGUUUAUCUAGCGCUGAAAAGAAGACUCCUAAUAAGAGGGAUUCAGUAACUCCAAAGGCUACAACUCCUAAGCCGCUCUCUACGACUAGCAGCACAGAUCGUUUACAUAAAAUUAAUAGGGAGAAACCUAAAGAUUUAACGACCUCGAUGACAAGAUCAGCUAUAAUGUCGACACCGGCUAAUAAAACCGUUCCUAAAGAUAAUAAAGAACCGCUCACAAAGAGCAAAGAAGAAAAAGAGGCUUUGAAUCAGGUGAAAACGGAAGUUUUAUCGAAUAACCACAACACAGAUACAAUAAAAUCAUCCGCACAAAAAAACGGUGCUAAAGAAAGGAAAAUGAGCGGUGCAACUGCUCAAGAAGAAGAAAAGACCGAUCAGGGCACGGAAAAAGAAUCGGACGCAAUUGUACGAGAAAAACCAAAAUCUCAUAAUAGCAGCAAAGAAGGCUCACUAGUACGGGAAUUUGGCGGAGGCGAUAGCCAUGACUCAAUGACUGCUUCUAUGAUUGCUAAAAGUAAAAUUACUACAGAAGAAGAGGCUAAGGCUGCCCUGGCUGAAAGACGUCGUUGGGCUCGAGAAGAAGCUGAAAGGCAGGCGGAACUGGAACGUCAACGUCUGGAGGCUGAACGUUUGGCUGAAAUUAAGCGACAAGAGGAAGAGACAGAACGUCAGCGCCAAUUCGAGGAGGAAGCUAUACGUUUGGCUGAGGAGCAACGUGAGGCCGAAGAAGAGCGUUUGCGUCAGGCCAUUGAGGAAGCAAAACAUCGUGAAGAAGAGGAAAAACGUAAACGCGAGGAGGAUGAGAAGCAACGCUUAGAACGCGAAGAAACCGAGAAGAAGGCCAAGGAGGAAGCUGAAAAACAAAGACUCGUAGUUGCCGAACGCUUGAAACGCGAAGAAAAAGAACGUGAGGAACGACGAAAACGCGUAGAAGCUAUUAUGUCUCGCACACGCCGAGGUGGUGGUAAUAAUUCUACACCUUCAUCUACACCUUCAAAGGAAAAUAAUAAUAUAAUGAAGACGGCAGUAAUAACUCCCAAUGCAGCAACAAUAACUCCACAGGAAAAUCAAGAACAACUAACCGCAAUCCAUAAUGCAACGUCGGCAACAACUAUCACCUCGAUUUCGGUGAACAGUGACAGUAACUCAACAUCGGGUUCAUCCAGUGCUACAGCCACCACACCGACUGCUAUAAAUAAUACAGUUGCUCUGCCAGUAAUGCCAGCCUCGACAGAACAAAAUGCUGAAGAAAUUAAAUCUCAAUUUGAACCACAAAAUUCUCAGGCUAUGUAUGAGCAGUCGGUCAUUGACAAGGAGAAUUCUUUGAUCAAUAGCUUUUCAAAUCUGAUCAUUGACGAGAAUGCAAAAAAUAUUCAUCAGCAACCGCAACAACAGCAGCAACAGCAGCAGCAGCAGCAGCGCAUACAUCAUCAGUUCGUUGUUGAAGAGAAAAAUGCUAAAAAGUUGGUUGAGUUGCAAAACAAUGAAACUAAAAAUAUAUUGACAACCAAUGCUGUAGCUAAUGGAAAUGGCCAUCACAUUGAUAGUAUUAAUAAUAAAAAUGAAAUUGAUUUAAUACAAAAUGUAGUACCAACUGCAAAUCAAUUAAUUAACUUGAGCCUAGAUACCCAAGACAAUGUCAACUUUAAUAACAAUAAUAGCUUAUUGACAACAACUACUACUGCACUAGUCACUGCUGAUAGUCAUGAAAAUAAAGAUAUUUCAUUGCUGUGAGUUAAUCUUUACUUGUGAGGGAUUGAUCUAGGAUUUAUAUAUUAUUGCUUGGUGGCAUUAUACAACAUAUACAUAUGGGACGAAAAUUUCUUUUUCAAACUUUAAAAAUAAUUAUACAGUAGUAGUUAAGCAGACAUAAAAAAAAUAACGGAAAUGAUGCUUAGUUUGUAGGAAGUCUUAUUAAAAAUAAUUUCAGUUAUGUUUAGAAAAGACAAGAGAAAAAACCAAAAUAUUAAACAAUUCAACAAAUAAUUAAAAAAAGAAAGGCCAGCUAUACUAGUUAGAACAUUAUAAUACUUUGAAGCCUUUAUUAAAGGACAUGCAUAAGCAUUACUACAUAUUCAAGCAGCUAAACUCAAGCCUCCUGAAAUUCUAUACAUAUUUGAUAAUGAAAAUGCUUAAAAACAAAAACUUGUCGUGUGCCUAGUAAUUAGAGCAAAUUUUCAAAUAACAUUU